rnacentral:lncRNA from 1 species
CAAGGUUAGGCUUGGCACUUACUGAGUACAGUUGUGGUGUACUCAUGCUACUCUUCUGCACACUUUUGUUGUGCAGAUCUAGGUGCAUCCAGCCAGGCGUAUCAUUAGUGAGUCCAGAGCUUGCUAUCAGAGACUUGAGGUAUAUCUGCUGCAUCUGCAGAUCGGAGAGUCUCCGUCCAUUCUAUCCCGUAGUUAGUAGUACUGUUUCCCUUUUCUCUCCGUUGUAUUAGACACUCCACGUAUUAGAGCUGUACUUAUGUUCUCACAGCCUGUGUUGCCCGUGGGAUUUCGGGUUUUGGGAUAUUAUUUUCAGAAGUUGUG